UGGGGGAUAUUGCACAAUGGGCGAAAGCCUGAUGCAGCGACGCCGCGUGGGGGAUGAAGGCCUUCGGGUUGUAAACUUCUUUUGCUCUGAACAAGGCGCACCAUGGGGUGUGUUGAGUGUAGGGGUUGAUUAGCGCCGGCUAACUACGUGCCAGCAGCCGCGGUAAUACGUAGGGCGCGAGCGGUGUCCGGAAUUAUUGGGCGUAAAGGGCUUGUAGGUGGCUGGUUGCGUCUGUCGUGAAAGCUCAUGGCUUAACUGUGGGUUUGCGGUGGGUACGGGCUGGCUUGAGUGCAGUAGGGGAGGCUGGAAUUCCUGGUGUAGCGGUGGAAUGCGCAGAUAUCAGGAGGAAUACCGGUGGCGAAGGCGGGUCUCUGGGCUGUUACUGACACUGAGGAGCGAAAGCAUGGGGAGCGAACAGG
rnacentral:rRNA from 1 species